rnacentral:lncRNA from 1 species
CAUUGGGUAGAGACUAGAAAUGUACCGAGCAGUGCGCAAAGAAGAUGAGGAGGGUUCUACAGUUUCUCCAGAUACAUACCAUGACAAUUUGUUUUUUUAAAAAAGAAGAAAGCCUGCAGGAGAUUGUGGGGACAGCAGAAUGUGACUUCCAAGGCUAGGUCCUGAAAGAUGCUGUGACUUUCGCCUGAGUCUCUUGGAUCACUCGCUCUGGGGGAGGACUGCUGUCAUGUCAUGAGGACACUCAGGCAUCCCCAUGGAAAAGUCUGCAUGGCGGCAUGAAGCAAGUCCUUGCUGAAGGUCCAGGGCAUGGCAAGAGAACCUGAGUUUAAGAAGCAGACAUCACCUGCUGGCAGCAGGCACAUUCAGCCUGAGCCAUCUUUACAUGUGGAUAAUCUUGGAUUUCCCAACUGGGCUUCUUGCACACUCCAUGGUAGAACGUCAGAGGAAAUUUUUUUCAAGCAAGAGCUGUUAGAUCAUGAGAUUCCCCAGAAAGAUACAGAUACAGGAAAAAAUCUACAACUUUCAUCAAAUUACUCAGGGAGACUUUAUUCUAAAGAGACUGAAAACGACCAACAUCAAUUUUGACUCCUAUGGGCAUCUGUAAAUAGCUUCAAGGUUUUAAGGUGAAAUGUCAUGUACCAAAAUACACAUUCUGGAGAAGCAGGAAGCUACAGACCAACUUGAGAUGAAAGUCUCAUAUCAAUGUUUUCCCAAGUGUGCUCCUUGGAAUACAGGUUGACAUGAUAUGAUGCCCAGCAAGGGAAACAAAACAUAUUCAUGUUCAAAUUAGUUGGGGAAAUGCUGGACUAAAUAAGGUUUGAUGGGAUUCUUUUUUCUGCAGGACUUCUCAGAAGGGGCUAGAGUAGGCAAAGUUUCCCAGAUUUACCUAAUAAAAGCAUUGUUUCUGUGGGAGUUUCAUUUGUUAUUACAUGUUUCCUGAAUGCAGAUUCAUAGACUAUCCUUUGGGGAACCCUCGUCCUCACGGGAUGUAUGUUCAUGGUGGUGUCUUCGAGUUUGUGCCCUUGUGAAGCAUUCUGGCAGCAAGCAUCUGAACACUUCCAAAAGGGGGCGAUAUUUAGGAGAAAUCGCUCAGCCUGAGUUAGAACAAAUGCAGCUGCUGGUGUCUCUUGGUGCCUGGGAGCCCUAGAGUGUCAGAGGGAGGAGCGUGCACACUGGAACCAGCAGCCUGGUGCUGCGUCUCAGCUCUGUCGCUAACUGGCUAUGCACCUCUGGGCAUGGCACUUAACCCUUCUGAGCCCCAGCCCGCCAUCUGUAAAAAGGGCUUGAUGUGAGGAUUGAAUGAGAUCAUGCAGGGAACACAAUGUCUGGCACUUGGAAGCGUCCACCAUAAAGAGCCAAGGCAGUAGAUGGCCCAGCUGGGUUUGGUCCAGGCAGAGUUUACCCUCUGCCCUGGAGGCUCCAGGAAAUGCUGCCACGUGGCUCCUAUUGCCUUAACCACAUCCGACCUGUUCCUGACAGCUCCCCACAUCUCCAGCUCCUUUGCUGGUGCUCCAGGCACCUCCAAACGUGGCGAGCCCCUCUCCCCUGCCCUCUUGUGGCAGCUGACCUGGCAGGAGUGGGACCAAGACAUCCAAGGCAGCUCCUUUCCACCUGCAUGGGCACUUUCCUCAGGACAUCCUUGCCCCUGGCACCACCUUGGGCCAGCAAGCCACAUGGAAAUGGAUGCAGAGGCACCACUGUUUGCUGACAAUUAUACACUGUCCUUAAGGUCACCCUUGGCGAUCUGUCACCAGGAGCAGACAAACCCACACCUCAACCAUCCCAUCAGAGCUUGUUUCUAUCUGCAUCUGUCAUCGCUGAUCGCAUUUGAAU